rnacentral:rRNA from 1 species
UACGUAGGGGGCUAGCGUUGUCCGGAAUCAUUGGGCGUAAAGAGCGUGUAGGCGGCCAGGUAGGUCGGUUGUGAAAACUGGAGGCUCAACCUUCAGACGUCGACCGAAACCAUCUGGCUAGAGUCCGGGAGAGGAGAGUGGAAUUCCGUGGUGUAGCGGUGAAAUGCGCAGAUAUCAGGAAGAACACCCGUGGCGAAAGCGGCUCUCUGGAACGGUACUGACGCUGAGACGCGAAAGCGUGGGGAGCGAACAGG